CGUAAUAAUAGAAACUAACCAGGAUUCCCUUAGUAACGGCGAGUGAACUGGGAUACCCAAUACACCAUCCUGUGCGUACCUCGGUGCGUACAAAUUUUAGCCCGUCGAUACUAUCCUAGCAUAGUACUGGCCUUCGGCCGGUAACCUAUCUAUGCGGGAAUUGUAGCAUCGUACAAAAAAUAUAUUAUACAACGUAUAUAUAUACGCAACCCACACUUAUAUAUAUUUUUAUGCGUACACUUACUUUCAUAAACACACAGGCCUCUCGCGUUGGAAAGCAAGCUUAUAUAUCCUUUUUUGGAUACGCCAUAGAGUGUGACAGCCACGUUUCAACUCUGCGUACGUACGUAUACACAUGCGUUAUAUAUACAUACACUGUAUUUUAUAUAUAACCUGAGUCGAGUUAUUU
rnacentral:rRNA from 1 species